CCCUUAGAUGUUCUGGGCCGCACGCGCGCUACACUGAUGCAUGCAACAAGUCUUUUCCUUGGCCGAGAGGCCUGGGCAAUCUUUGAAUAUGCAUCGUGAUGGGGAUAGACGAUUGCAAUUAUUCGUCUUCAACGAGGAAUUCCUAGUAAACGCAAGUCAUCAGCUUGCAUUGAUUACAUCCCUGCCCUUUGUACACACCGCCCGUCGCACCUACCGAUUGAAUGGUCCGGUGAAGGCUUCGGAGGCGGCUUUCUCAAUGUUUAUUCGGCGAGACUGCUGCCAAAGUUGAAUGAACCUUACCAUUUAGAGGAAGGUGAAGUCGUAACA
rnacentral:rRNA from 1 species